UGGGAUUACAGGCAUGAGCCACCACGCCUGGCUCAGAGGAAGCUCUUUAAUGAAGAAGUAACAUAUUAAAUAUAACUACAUUAAGAACCUUUCACUUUAUUCUACAUAAAUAUACUCACAAUUUAAUUAGUCAUUGAAAUGAGGAAGUCACAUGCAAUGCAUUUCAGUUGAAGGUGUCUGUCUUAAAAGAGUGAUGUAAGGGGGUCUUAUAGUACCUUUAUGGAUGACAGCAGUGUCUGGGACUAAGGUCACAGAAGUGAAGAUCUGAGCCCACGUUCAACAAUCUUAUAAAUUACAAAGGAAUGUUUAGACACAAAAUCUAGACAGUGAAAACAGAGAUGCUGCAGUAGCAGGCCUAGAAGAGAAGGAGGAAUUUGCAGUCCUUUUUCAAAUCACCUUUUCAUAAAUGAAAACAAACUCAUACAACAACAAAAUAGGGCAUGCAUUCUGAUUCAGGAUGCUGUUUUAAAGUUCUGUUCAGCAGUUUACAUGGACUUUGAUAUCAUAACACUCUGAUUCAAGUGCUAAAUAUAAAUAGGGUAAAUAUUUCUUGGCUUCCAGUGGGGUAAUGGUAAACCCAAAUUAGAGGCAGCACCACGGUAAAGAGCUAUGUUGGAUGAAAUCCUGAACCACAUUUGUGGGAAGGACACAGGGCUGGCCCAGUGAAGUCACUCUUCCAGUGAAACAGCAGAGCUAACAUCAUCCUUCCAGGAAUCCUGCAAAAGAAGCCACCUGGGAUGCAGUAAGAUGACAGUAGCUUUCUGGAGCUAAGAUGACAGACAGUUUUUUCUUUGGCCACAGGUUCUGAUUACAAAUCAGCAAGCAAAUGUGUUCACACAGAUGAAAUAAGGGUAUAGAAAAGGAUGAUGAUUUGUCCCAUUUAUUCCAGCCCUUUUUACUGGCUUUUACAGUCCUUUUUACGUGGCUUUCAUUCAUUCUUCUUUCUGCCCAUGAAGCUUAUCCUAGAGAGAAUUUCUGAGAAUAAAUGAAGCAUAGUGAAGCUUCUAGAAAAUAGUGUAAAAUGCUAACAUUGUUAUUAUUGUCAAGUCAUGUUUAUCAAUAUGUGGAUCAUUGAUGAUAACUGAACUAUUCAAGAAAAGUUGUUAACUAAAUGGCUGUAUGACUUUUGGUGGGAGAUUGUAUCGUAGCUCAGGAAAAAUUUAUUCCCCUUGCGGUACCCGCACCCCCACGCCCAGGAGGAAUGUACAUCCUUGUCCCAGAAGCAAUGGGCUGGGUGACUUGCUUUGGCUUGUUGGAAUGUGAGUGGAUGUGGAUUUGCCUGUCCAAGCUAAGAGCCAAACACACAUGGUGCAUUGGGCUCACUCUGUGUGCUCUUAUCGCAUCAGAGCCAUGCGUCCCAGAGAGUGGUUGUGCCUUCUGCCUGGAAAUGCAGGAGAAUCAGAUCUCUGCCCUUCCCACCUGCGGACUUCAGUAGAACUGCCACGGCCCACCUGCAAACUCAAGAGUGAGAAAUAAAGAAAUGCUGGCAAUUUCACACCUCACUGACAGGCAAAUAGCAGCAUAUGACUGUCUCUACAACAUUCUUGACCUAUAAAUCUUCAAAGCAACAAUGCUCUACUACAAAAGGAAAAAAAAACCAAGACCACGAGUAACCCAUCUUCAAACUGUCACUCUAAUCCUUUCUCUGACUGUCAGAUUAAAGGUUGCUGCUGUCUGGAGGUCUGUGGCUUCAAAUUAGAGAUGAGAUCAUCAAAAAAGCUUAAAUUCAAACUUCAGAUUGCUGGCUUCACUAUGCUCCUUGGUGAGAAAAUAAAUACGUAAAUAGUUACCCAUUAGACAUGCUAUCAAGAAUAAGAAUGAAUCCUGCAUACAUGUAAAAUAUCAAUAAUAAGAUAUCAAUAAACUUAUUGACAAUAUUACAGGA
rnacentral:lncRNA from 1 species